CAGUCAAUCAGCUCCCUGCUUCUAACUGCUUUUUUAAUUUUACUGUUUGGACAUUUAUUUUAAAUGCUGAUUAAAGGUUAUGUUUUAAUUUUUACACUUCUAAUCUAAUUCGGAGUUUAUGCAUGGGAAGGUGCAAUUAUGUGGGCCGGUUCUUUCAUUUUCUUUUUUCUUUGUAUAUCGUUUCAAGAACCAGCAGUGCAGAGAAUGGAAAUAGCCAGACAGAUGCUACUUGCAGUUUGCUAAUGUAAUUGUUAUUGAGAGCAGUGUUUAUCCCUUUCCUCUGGUUCCGACUUCUGAAACAAUGUAGCAAAACCUUCAUCCUGUCUGAAUUCUGAUAUCGUUUCAAGAACCAGCAGUGCAGAGAGUAUAAACAGCCAUUGGGAGCAGGGUUUAUCCCUUUCCUCUGGUUCCGACUUCUGAAACAAUGUAGCAAAACCUUCCAUGUGUCUGAAUUCUGAUAUCGUUUCAAGAAUGAAAAAGUAUGGUGUUGGGGAGCGCCAACCAUCAAACACAGUGUAUGGUGAGCAGGGUCAGAUAAUAUCUAUAUACAAAGAAAAUGGCCCACGCAAUUGCACCUUCCCAUACAUAAACUCCGAAUUAGAUUAGAAGUGUUAAAAUUAAAACAUAACCUUUAAUCAGCAUUUCAAAUAAAUGUCCAAACAGGUUAAGAACCUUAGCUAAUUGCUGGAAUUAAGUGCCUGAGGCACAUUGCAUUACAACUAAAGGGUACUACAGAUCGGGUGGUGUAUUAUGAGGGUGAAUGGGUUGGAAUUGGUGGAAUGACCCGUGGGUUAGAAUCUUAAGGUAAUCGCUUGAAUUAAGUGCCCGAAGCACUUUGAAUUCCAACCGAUACUACCCCUGGUAUUUACCAGUACGGUUAGGUAGCCAUUUGUUAAUUUGGUUUAUACUCUCCUUUCUCGCAUAUAACUCCAGGCCGUAGGCUUUUGUUAUUUAUCUCCUUUAUAUGGCCAAAUUUUCUCAUUAUGGGAGGGAGCUCUAAAUGGAUGAAGGGGUUGGUGCUAUAAAGGGUACUCUUAAAGUGAUUAUCGCAUGGUGGUUGCAGGAAAGAUACCCAAUACCCACUGGGAUUAACCAAUCAUUAUUGGUUAACCACUCAUAAUAACCCUCCU